rnacentral:rRNA from 1 species
UACGUAGGGCGCGAGCGUUGUCCGGAAUUAUUGGGCGUAAAGAGCUCGUAGGCGGUCUGUCGCGUCGGCUGUGAAAACCCGAGGCUCAACCUCGGGCCUGCAGUCGAUACGGGCAAACUAGAGUACUGCAGGGGAGACUGGAAUUCCUGGUGUAGCGGUGAAAUGCGCAGAUAUCAGGAGGAACACCGGUGGCGAAGGCGGGUCUCUGGGCAGUAACUGACGCUGGAGGAGCGAAAGCGUGGGGAGCGAACAGG